rnacentral:ncRNA from 1 species
GAUCACGAAGUCCGACGGCCCCACUCCGGUGGGGCGAAGCCUUCCGGCUCGUCGGCUGGCAACCGCGCACAUCGCGCACGGUGCCCCCGGGAGAAGAUCCGCCGGCACGCGCAACCGCCGCGCCGGAAGAGCGAUUC